GUUUUGAAGUCAUGCGAGGAAGAGGGAGCAGAUUGUCUAGAGGCUGUGGUGAAGUUAAUGUGUCACCAUCUUGGCAGGUUGUGGUGAAGUGUUACCAUCUUGGCAGGUUGUGGUGAAGUUAAUGUGUUACCAUC